rnacentral:rRNA from 1 species
UACAGAGGUCCCAAGCGUUGUUCGGAUUCACUGGGCGUAAAGGGUGCGUAGGUGGUUGGGCAAGUCUGAUGUGAAAUCUCCGGGCUUAACCCGGAAAUGGCAUUGGAAACUGCCUGGCUAGAGUGUUGGAGGGGGGACUGGAAUUCUCGGUGUAGCAGUGAAAUGCGUAGAUAUCGAGAGGAACACCAGUGGCGAAGGCGAGUCCCUGGACGAACGACUGACGCUGAGGUGCGAAAGCGUGGGGAGCAAACAGG